GAUUUGUCGCUAGAUAGUAGGUAGGGACAGUGGGAAUCUCGUUCAUCCAUUCAUGCGCGUCACUAAUUAGAUGACGAGGCAUUUGGCUACCUUAAGAGACUCAUUGUGUGAGUGUCCCGCCGUUUACCCCCGCUCCAUCGAAUUUCUUCACUUUGACAUGAAGAGCCACAGUCACCUCGUUCAUCCGGGUGAUUGGAGUGUGACGAAGGAGAAUGCAUGCUGCGGUCAGAUAUCCUCAAGUGGAAACCCGGUCGAGUCACGCCCAGCGGUAUCUAUAGACACUAUUCUGUGUUACCAACUGCACAUCAGUUGCCACCGACUGACCUCCAGCGGACUUUAACUGGGUUGUUCAGACCCGAACGACAUCAAGUGCCUGCACACUACUUAAAGGAUAGAGAACCCAAUUCCCGUCGCAAUGACAAGCAUAUGAAACCGAACGGUUUGGGAAGGAAGCAGCAGAAAAGAGUCAUCCCCUUUCAAUCAUCUGCUUGCCCAGUUGUCCCUCCCUGGAUAGAGCCAUGGGUAUCACUUUUACCCUUCACUGUAUGCGAUAUUCCCCACAUGACAUGGGGGGGCCACAGUCGUCCACAUAGACGAUUUGAGUGCGCUAGCUCCAGGUGAGUACGCUCUCUUUUGAAUUUCUUCACUUUGACAUUCAUUGAUUCGUACCCGGUGGGAACCCAGGCUUCUGCUAUCCGUGGGGUCCGCAGUGAAUUGUCAGGCACGGUGGUACUACCCACAUAAAAUGCAGGCCUCCCCUCCAGACCAGCUGAAGAGACCUACUCCCUUGGGGCAUGAGGCUAUCCGUAAGCAAUGCCCUUAUCACCGCGGGGCCACUAGGUUUAUUUUCUCCGCUUCAAGCCCUUCGAACGUAGAGGAGCCAACCACAUCUGCAGCGUGUGGGUCACGCUCACAGCCAGUGGAAGUCCCGCACAAGGUUUCCCAAGGCCUGGUAGUAUUGACAAUGGCUCGGCACACUCCAUCUCCACUUCAUGUCCCGAGGGACGUGGAGGAGAGCUCCCACACGAAUGUGAAGAGUCCCGCUCUCAGGCGGACCUGAGGCCUGGAAAUAUCCCCAACCGCCAACACAUGCCAUCUCCAUAAUUUGUUCGGCUCUCCACGGGCCCAGCUACUGCUGGCGUUCGAUUCAAACCUGUUUCGGUUUAGAGCGAAAUAAGUAUGCGGGGACGCGUUCUUUCGUUUCGCCACAGCGGAUCUGUGGUCAGACUGUCUCAGCAGGACACCUUGACAGCCGAACCCCUGGACUUAUUCCUCCCCUCUCAGAAGAGGCACGUUCGAGUCAUCCUACCAAGGGAUAGGAAUGAUUUGCGAAAGCUCCGCAGCAAGUCAUUGAGUCAGGUGCAACCGCCACCACACCUACAUGCUUAGCGGAAAGCCCUAUAUGUCGGACAGACUGCAGCCAAAGUUUAUACAGCCCUCACCUUCUGCAGGACUCUCUCCGCCACGGCCCAAGGUCACAAGUACCAAGGUCGCUCUCUCCACCUUGGCUAGAGGCCGCUCAGGGUUCGAAAGGCAGCCCUUCUUUCCCCUGUCAACCCUUCACCAAGGUGUAGGACAUUUUGCCAGACUGUUUUGGGAAGACUUGGUUCACCGACUUCCCCCAAUCCUUCCGAAACACGGCCGGGUCCCAUGUGGCCGUGUCCUUAGGGAGAGGGGGGAUGGCGCCGGUCAAGCACAUCCCAGGCAAGGAGUUGUGCAAUUGGACUCAUCUUGGCAGAUGAUACAUGAUAGGGUUUGUAAAGCUGCAUUUUCAUGCAGCCUUCCCUUACCUCUCAUGCCCAACUCACAUUAUGCACCCAGAGGUGCAUACAUACCAGGGCAUGAUAGGGGUUGUAAGCUGGCAAUAACAUGCCAACUUCCCUUACCUCUCAUGCCCCAGAUAUUAGUAAUCCGAGCC